UUUAUCUGGAACUGAUUGAUUCCAAAUUUCAAGCAUUCAUUUUUGUAAUUAAUAAAUAUUAAAGAUCCGCUCUGCAUACGCGAAACAAAUGCUGCUUAAGAAACAUUUCAGUGCUCUCUCAGUUCUGCUGCUACUGGGCAGCUGCCAAUGGUCCUUCGCAGAGGAUUGUAUAUAUGGUAUAAGUAUUAGGUCUUUCAUGUGCGCGCUCUCCCGUGACAUGAACACCCUUUUUGCCAGAUUGGCCGGCAAAACUGUAAGUCAUGAAUAAGCGAACAGGGCUUGGGAAAUUGGUUGGCAGGUUACUGUUCAAAAAUUGUUAGUUCAAUCAAUAAAGUUAUUUGUUCAAGAAGCUCAAUUAAAAUUAAGUAAUUUUAGAAAAGA